GGAAGAAGGUGGUGCUGAGAAGGUAGCCCUGAGCUGCAGUGUCCCCUCUCUAGGUCCAAGGGAGAACCCUAGCUCAUCCUCUGGGGUUAUUGUCAAGCACUGGGUCAGAAGAAAGAAAGACACCUAUCAGUAACUAUAUCAGGAGCUCCAUUUCUUGCUGUACCCCUUCUCCUGACCCAGCCAGGCUUUUUAAAACAAGCUCCAGUUGAUUGGUGGCCAAAAGGAAAUAAUGUAUAAUAAUAUGAAAGAGGCAUAUUCAGAAGAUUACCAGGAGAAUGGGAUGGAGAAAAUGAGUGCUUCCACAAGUUUGACACUCUCUACCCGCCUCCACAUUAAUUUGCUUGGAUGAUCAAAAGUAAGAGAAGAAAGACAAUUACAGCUCUUGCCAGACCCAGAAAUAAAAACUUGGCAAAAUGAGUGACAACCCAAGCAAAAAGCCAACAGUUAGCCUCUGGCAUUUGGGCAGGUUUUGUGAGCUUUCUUGUA